rfam:Myotis brandtii contig245418, whole genome shotgun sequence.
AGAGGCCCUCCGUGGCCAGGGUGGGACGCUUGCCUGGUCGCUGCAGUGACAAAGCAAGCAUUCCGCCAGGCCGUUCACGCUGCCCGC